rnacentral:rRNA from 1 species
CCUACGGGAGGCAGCAGUGAGGAAUAUUGGUCAAUGGGCGGAAGCCUGAACCAGCCAAGUAGCGUGCGGGAUGACGGCCCUACGGGUUGUAAACCGCUUUUGCACGGGGAUAACGCGCUUCACGUGUGGCGCUCUGCAGGUACCGUACGAAUAAGGACCGGCUAAUUCCGUGCCAGCAGCCGCGGUAAUACGGAAGGUCCGGGCGUUAUCCGGAUUUAUUGGGUUUAAGGGGAGCGUAGGCGGCCGUUCAAGGCAGCUGUAAAAUGCCGGGGCUCAACCCGGCCCUGCAGUGGAAACUGGAGUACUUGAGUCCGCAACAGGCAGGCGGAAUUCGUGGUGUAGCGGUGAAAUGCAUAGAUAUGACGAAGAACCCCGAUUGCGAAGGCAGCUUGCUGGGGCGCGACUGACGCUGAGGCUCGAAGGCGCGGGUAUCAAACAGGAUUAGAUACCCGGGUAGUC